rnacentral:lncRNA from 1 species
CACAAUAAAAUAAACUUGAAGAUUGCUAUGAAGUUAAUGUAUCAAAUAAACUUCAGUAUGCAUAACUUUGUAGGAAGUCUGUUGGGGAAAAUUAGACUUCAUAAAAUGCAAAUGGUAGGAACUGUAAAGGUUAUUUCUUUAAAUAUAUUGAAAAGUUAUGUCAUUUAAUAAAGGUGUGAAUGGCCUGGUCCAAGGGAAGUGUUGUUUACAACUAAUUGAUCACAACCAGUUACAGAUUUCUGUUUCUUCUGCAUCCCCACUGCUUCACUUGACUAGUCUUAAACAAAAGCAAAACAGUGUGAACAGGUCUCAAAUCUUUUGACUCUUCAAGGAGAGAGAAACUGCAACACAGUUUCCUUUUCUAAAAUGGCCAGCAGUGGGGGAACCCAUGAGAUUUAAUCUGACAUUUUCAUUGAACGUGUUGAUUGUGAAAUAACUGGUUAACUAAAAUACAACUUCAACUUUUGAAAAAUUAGCUGAUCUCAUCUGGAUUUCUCAAGUGACUUUACCCUUUACAAAAUUAACAUACUGUAUUCAAAUCAGUAAAAGUAAGUUUAUCAACUCAAUAUAAUGUUUGAAUAAACAGCAUCAAACAUACGGGUUUUCAAAAACUGAGGUAUAUGAUGUUUGAAACA